rnacentral:piRNA from 1 species
UGCCGAGUCACGUGUGAAGAUGCCACA